AUUGAACGCUGGCGGCAUGCUUUACACAUGCAAGUCGAACGGCAGCGCGGGGCAACCUGGCGGCGAGUGGCGAACGGGUGAGUAAUACAUCGGAACGUACCCAGAAGUGGGGGAUAACGUAGCGAAAGUUACGCUAAUACCGCAUACGUUCUACGGAAGAAAGUGGGGGAUCUUCGGACCUCAUGCUUUUGGAGCGGCCGAUGUCUGAUUAGCUAGUUGGUGAGGUAAAGGCUCACCAAGGCGACGAUCAGUAGCUGGUCUGAGAGGACGACCAGCCACACUGGGACUGAGACACGGCCCAGACUCCUACGGGAGGCAGCAGUGGGGAAUUUUGGACAAUGGGCGCAGGCCUGAUCCAGCAAUGCCGCGUGAGUGAAGAAGGCCUUCGGGUUGUAAAGCUCUUUUGUCAGGGAAGAAACGGCUGGGGUUAAUACCCCUGGCUAAUGACGGUACCUGAAGAAUAAGCACCGGCUAACUACGUGCCAGCCGCCGCGGUAA
rnacentral:rRNA from 1 species